UGAAAACAUAAUUAUAAAAGUAAACAUUCACUAGCCAACGUGUGGCAUCUUCAAAAUAUUAAAAAAAUCCCCUACCAAAGUUGACACCACACAACCUGGUCGUGAGAUUUAAAUGAUUUUUUUUUUCACUUUUUGGCCAAUCAACCAAGCUUUUGGUCACCAAUGGUUGUAGCCUUAUAAGACCUUUGGGUGUGGAGGAGUGGAAAGGGGUGUGCGUUGAUGUGGCACCUUGACCACAACGUGGAACACCGCCCCCAUAUGUUGUGGACCAUGCGCAUGGUUGGUUGGCCCGGAGACCUCCAUGAUGAUGAGGGUUGUCUUGGAAGGUGGGUGUGUGGCGUGGGGGACGACCAUUGGGCGAGGCUUAUAUAAGGGACCAUAUAAAAUCUCAAGAGGCCGAGAAGAACUAUGAUUUUGCAUCUAGACAAGCUUCUGUGGAUAAUGAAGACAGGAGUCCGAAUCUAAAGGCGGAUACGAGUCCGUUUUAUCAGCAAGAAACACCACAACCGUGUCAUCUCAGCUCCUCAAUAUACUAUGGUGGUCAAGAUAUCUACACUAAUCCUUGUAUUACAAAGAACAACCCUGGACAUUCAACACAGUACACCAAAGAUGGAGAAGAUGAUGGGCGUGCGUCACGAGGAAACUGGUGGCAGGGAUCACUGUAUUACUAGGAGUUAGGACCACACUACUAUCUAUAUGACGAAACAAAACUGAGGUUACUAGGUAAGAGUGGAGAAAAAAGGAUAGCUCGAUGAUCUAUAGGACAAAUGAUAGUGUUUCCAUAUAUAUUCAGUAUCAAAUAAAAACUAAAUGUUCAUUAAAAAAUGGAAACACUAUUCUUAAUGGCUCAUUUUAAAUGCACAUUUGAAAAUGGAAGUUAAUGCAUCCAAAAAGAUGCAUUAAGAUCCAAUCUCUAUUUGUGCAUACGAAAUGAAUGAAUAGUUGGAACAGUUAAAACUAAAUAUUUAGUUUUUAUUAAAACUGUUUAUAUAUGUAUAAUGUAUAUGAUAUGCUGGUCAUGUAGCUUUUUUUAGCAUAGAAUAAUCGCUCCUUUGAUGGAGAUUGUGACUUGAAAGUUGAUGUUGCGUGUAAGUUAUACUAUCUUAAUGUUCGAUAAGUUCUUAAGUUUUACCAAUA